GGCUAACAGUGCAGCAGAGAAGGAAGAACAGCGCCCCCGCACCGCGAUUCUUUCCCCUCCUCAAGCCCUGCACGCCCGCCUCCCUGAAAUCAAACUUUUAUGCUCCUUCCAUCUUGCUGCCUCCUGCCCCCUUGACUCACAGACGCUGCUGCUUGCGCGUGAACCAGGAACCUCCGUGAUGUUCUCUGCCUCAUGGCUGCACCAAUUUCCAUUCCCACCGACUCUGCAGGAAGGCUCCCUUCGCUCCCCGCCCUGGAAGGGACCGUCUUGAGCAUCCCCGAGCUGAGCUGUACUCUGUCCGUGACCCGGAACUUGUCCCUGGAAUUCAGAGAAAGUGCAGAGCUGAGGUUACCGGACAAGCAAAGCCCUUGGGGGUAGGAUGCUUAUGCCAAAGCUACCUGGGAAGUAUGUGAAGAUGGUUCUGCCCUUGACCUUCCAAGGAGCCAGGAAGACUCAUCAGACAUGUAGUAGGAGCUGGGUGUGGGCUGACUUCUGACAGGGCUGUGAGCAAAGCCAGCUCCAUCUUUUAAGAAGAUAUCUGGGUCUCUACGCCAAAAACUCAAAUCAGUCUUCCCAAGACCAGGGAUUGAAUCACUCCCAUAGAAAAUGAGAUUAAGAAGGGAAAAGCAUUUCAGAAAAUGCUACUGGAAAAAAAGUCCAGAAGGCUCAGCAUAAUCCUUUGAAAAGAUGCUUUUACAGGAGUGUGAUGAGGGGCGUGUGUGAAAGUGAAAGCGUGAGUCACUCAGUCGUGUCUGAGUCGUUGCGGCCCCAUGGACUGUAGCCCGCCGGCUCCUCUGUUUGUGGGAUUCUCCAGGCAGGAACAUUGGAGUGGGUUGUCAUUUCCUUCUCUAGGGGAUCUUCCCUACCCAGGGAUCAAACCUGGGUCUCCUGCAUUGCAGGCAGACGCUUUACCAUCUGAGCCACCAGUGCGAGAGCUUUAUUGUAUAAUUACAGACCGGGAGCCAGAGAAAUCAUGAGAGUUAGUAGGGUAUGCUCUGGGCGAACUUAAAAGAUGCUCUAAUUCCAAGAGAAACACAUACAACACGUAAAAAUGUCAGCUUCCAUGUAGUUGCAACGUUAUAUUAACAUCACUGUGCGUUCCCUCCUCGGUCAGUGAGAUCCUCCUUUCUCUCCAAGAGUCUCUGACUUCCCAGCAGCUUCAUCAUCUGAGAACGCACAGGCGUGGGCAUUCGUCAGCAGAGGCGGCCCGGACAGACACCCCACGGGGGCACAGAAUUUUGCUGUUUUUGGUCAAACCUCAACAUGAAUCAGCCAUAGGUGAUAACACUGUUGUUCAGAAAGACCACCUACUGAUGGGCAUAAUGGUGACCUGAAAAAGGC
ensembl:lncRNA